GGGGAGGUAGCUCAGUGGAAGAGCUCUUGUUUUGUAUGCACAAGGUCUAGGUUCAAUCCCCAGCAUCACCA
rnacentral:tRNA from 1 species